UUUAUGGAUAAUGUAACACCA
rnacentral:piRNA from 1 species